AUGUAAUUGGGAAAUUAUUAGCAAAAUAAAUAUUCAUUAAACAUAGGUUAUAGUAAAUUAAUUAAUGGUUUUCUAGGUUAUAUUAAUAUAAUAAAUUAAUGAUUUUCUAAGUCAAUAUAUGGCUUUCAGGGACCCAUUUCUAUCUGACUAUGACACUACUGAUCUAGUCCAAUCUCCUUAUUUCGUAGAUGGUGGAGGAAAAAUUGGUUCAGAGAGAUCAUAUGAUCUGCUUAAGGUUGAAUUCAUUUGUCAAAUGCAAAGAGUGGAUUACAUGGUCUCAGAAGUUAUUUUCAGCUCUAACUCUACACUCCUAAAAUAUUAAACUCCAUCAGUAGAAGCUUAGGAUCCAGCAUGAGAGACGUCUUAUUGCACCCUGCCCUGAUCAAGCUAAUUUGGAAGGAAACAGCAUCUGGAACGUGUCCAAAGGAAGGAGAAUAGGAUUUUGAGGGUCUUGGGAACCAUGCCAUAAGAAGAUCAGUGGAAAGAACUGGGAAUGUUUAGCCCAGAGAAGUGAAGACUUGGGAAGAAAUAAUCUUUUUUUUACAUAUAUUUGAUUGUUUUCCUGUAGAAGAGGGAUUAUAUUUACUCUGUUCAGUCCCAGAUGAGAGAAUUAUGGCCAACGGGUAGAAACUAUGGGGCAAAUAAGUUUUAGUUCAAUAAAAGAAUUUCCAACAAUUAGGAAUGUCCCAUAAUAGAAUAGGCUUAUCUCAGAAGUAGACAUUAUCCUGUAAGUGGCUAAAAGAACACAUAUACAGGGAAUUAAGGUUUCUGAUGAGGCUUUAGUUUGGAUGACUUCAGAAAUCCAAUCAUGUGCUAUGAUUGUAAGAGAAUUUGAUUCCUGGAGUACUAGGGAGAGAGGAUAUAGAGUUGAGAAAGCCCACAAACAUAAAAAAUCCAACCUUGACAAGUCACUUUAACUUCAUGGUACCUUAAUAUCUUCAUCUGUAAAAUGAGGGGAUUGGACUAGCUGAUUUCUAAAGUCUCUUCAUAUUCUGUAUCAAUGAUCUACGAUCUCAUGAAAUUCUGUUCAAUAUUUAUGUUUUCCCUCCCCAUUCAUUUUCUAAAGACCAAGGACAACUAUCAUUCAAUGUUCCACCUCUCCCUCUUCACUUUCCUAG
rnacentral:lncRNA from 1 species